UGGGGAAUAUUGCACAAUGGGCGCAAGCCUGAUGCAGCCAUGCCGCGUGUAUGAAGAAGGCCUUCGGGUUGUAAAGUACUUUCAGCGGGGAGGAAGGGAGUAAAGUUAAUACCUUUGCUCAUUGACGUUACCCGCAGAAGAAGCACCGGCUAACUCCGUGCCAGCAGCCGCGGUAAUACGGAGGGUGCAAGCGUUAAUCGGAAUUACUGGGCGUAAAGCGCACGCAGGCGGUCUGUCAAGUCGGAUGUGAAAUCCCCGGGCUCAACCUGGGAACUGCAUUCGAAACUGGCAGGCUAGAGUCUUGUAGAGGGGGGUAGAAUUCCAGGUGUAGCGGUGAAAUGCGUAGAGAUCUGGAGGAAUACCGGUGGCGAAGGCGGCCCCCUAGACAAAGACUGACGCUCAGGUGCGAAAGCGUGGGGAGCAAACAGG
rnacentral:rRNA from 1 species